AUCGUCGACGAUGAUGAGAUGAUUCAGUAUAUUCUAGCCAGACUUGAUUUUGAAUACAAUUCCUUUCUCACUUCAAUGCUUGGCCGAGUUGGAUCCAUCUCAUUGUCCGAUCUAUAUUCCCAACUGUUGUCAUAUGAGA